CGUAAAAGCAUUUCCUCCUCCAGGAGCACCGUGAUAAGAAAUGUUGAAAGUUUAAAGGAUUUUGAAAGGUGGGUUAGCUCAACCAGGUAUUUUGAACCUGGGCCACAUUCAGAAGCUUAUCUGAAAUGAAACCAAUAGUGGCAGAGCUGCUUCAUUGAGAACUGAGAAGGAUGGGGACCGCUGGCUGGCUUAGUCGGUGGAGCUCGUGACUCUGGAUCUCGAGGUGGUUGCAGGUGGAAGUAAGGAUGUUCAUCAGCUGACCCGAGAGUCUGUUAUCCACGUGGGCUCAAGAGAAUCAUGGGGCUCCUUUGAAGUACAGAGUCAGAAGCAUCCGUGACAAAGUGUUGUGAUAUGAAAAAGACUUGACCAGUUAUGGCCGGCUUUGAAGACAGUGGGCACCCACAGACCGUGGCCAAUGUGGGCAGCUUCUAGAAGAUGGAAGAGGGA